rnacentral:snoRNA from 1 species
ACCCUCUCAGGGUUGCACCUGGAGAGUUUCCAGUCCUCUACCAGUCUCGGCUACGAGAGGGAGAGUCAAGCAGAGGCCUACCCAAUCCAUUCCUAGCUAGGGCAGCAGCUAGCGAGUGGAAGGCAAUCUGCUACAAGC